rnacentral:rRNA from 2 species
AGCAUAGCGAUUUGGGAUAAGUCCCUUGGAAGAGGGCAGCAUGGAGGGUGAUACUCCCGUCUCUGCUCAGGUUGUCUGUGAGUACGAUACGCUUUCUUUGAGUCGAGUUGUUUGGGAAUACAGCUCAAAGUAGGUGGUAAAUUCCAUCUAAAGCUAAAUAUUGGUGCGAGACCGAUAGCGAACAAGUACCGUGAGGGAAAAGAUGAAAAGAACUUUGAAAAGAGAGUUAAAGAGUACCUGAAACUGUUGAAAGGGAACCGUAUCGUUUCUAGUGUUUAUCCUAUGCAUAUUUCAUUGGCGGUUGCAAAAUUGCUGGUGCCCUGUGCAUGGGUGUGACGUCAGAGUCAAUUUAAAUUGCGGGAGAUGGGUAGAGAGGAGGUGCGCCGCUUGCGGAAAGUUAUACCUUUUUGCCUAGUAGCCGUGGUUGAGACUGAGGUGCC